AGGUGUAUUCAACUUCAGUCGCAAUGCUUCUGACGGCAAUUGUAUCGGUCUUCUUGUUCGGCUUCAAUCUAUCCCUCGCAUUCUUCCUCGGAUCUACGGUCGUUUCAAUCUCGGUGUAUCUGCAUUCUGUCGGGAAGCCACAGCAGCAGAAAUGAGUUCCUCCCCCAUCUUUCUUUCCAAGAUUGGCAGCGAGCGCCUCGAUGCGGCGUCGUGGAACGGAUUAUGGACCGCACGGCAGCAUCGAAGGGGAAUAGGCUUCGUUCUAGGUCAUGGCACUGUUGUUGAGGCAAGGCGAUUCGCCCGGUGACAUAUUCAGGUUCACCAUCCGUUUGAACUGCUUCUUUGGUGGCAUACCUGGCUCACUUUUGCUUCGUGACCAGGGUGGAUGACAUACGCUAGUUUCUUAUCUGGGUAGGCCGGCGAGAAUGCGAGACGCUGGCUAUCUUCUUCA